UACAGAGGUCCCGAGCGUUAGGCGGAAUCACUGGGCUUAAAGCGUGCGUAGGCGGCUUGGUAAGUACCUUGUGAAAUCCCACGGCUUAACCGUGGAACUGCUUGGUAUACUGCUUAUCUUGGGCCACUUAGGGGUUACUGGAACAAACGGUGGAGCGGUGAAAUGCGUAGAUAUCGUAUGGAACGCCAAUGGUGAAAACAGGUAACUGGGAGUGUGCCGACGCUGAGACACGAAAGCCAGGGGAGCGAACGGG
rnacentral:rRNA from 1 species